CCUGCGGGGGGCAGCAGUGGGGAAUAUUGGACAAUGGGGGGAACCCUGAUCCAGCCAUGCCGCGUGUGUGAAGAAGGCCCUCGGGUUGUAAGGCACUUUCAGUGAGGAAGAACGCCUGGUGGUUAAUACCCAUCAGGAAAGACAUCACUCACAGAAGAAGCACCGGCUAACUCCGUGCCAGCAGCCGCGGUAAUACGGAGGGUGCGAGCGUUAAUCGGAAUUACUGGGCGUAAAGCGCGCGUAGGUGGCUUGAUAAGCCGGUUGUGAAAGCCCCGGGCUCAACCUGGGAACGGCAUCCGGAACUGUCAAGCUAGAGUGCAGGAGAGGAAGGUAGAAUUCCCGGUGUAGCGGUGAAAUGCGUAGAGAUCGGGAGGAAUACCAGUGGCGAAGGCGGCCUUCUGGACUGACACUGACACUGAGGUGCGAAAGCGUGGGUAGCAAACAGGAUUAGAUACCCCAGUAGUC
rnacentral:rRNA from 1 species